rnacentral:rRNA from 1 species
AGAACGAACGCUGGCGGCAGGCUUAACACAUGCAAGUCGAACGCUCCGCAAGGGGAGUGGCAGACGGGUGAGUAACGCGUGGGAAUCUACCCAAUACUACGGAAUAGCUCCGGGAAACUGGAAUUAAUACCGUAUGUGCCCUACGGGGGAAAGAUUUAUCGGUAUUGGAUGAGCCCGCGUUGGAUUAGCUAGUUGGUGAGGUAACGGCCCACCAAGGCGACGAUCCAUAGCUGGUCUGAGAGGAUGAUCAGCCACACUGGGACUGAGACACGGCCCAGACUCCUACGGGAGGCAGCAGUGGGGAAUAUUGGACAAUGGGCGCAAGCCUGAUCCAGCCAUGCCGCGUGAGUGAUGAAGGCCUUAGGGUUGUAAAGCUCUUUCAGUAGGGAAGAUAAUGACGGUACCUACAGAAGAAGCCCCGGCUAACUUCGUGCCAGCAGCCGC